GUGGGGAAUAUUGCGCAAUGGGGGAAACCCUGACGCAGCGACGCCGCGUGAGCGAAGAAGGCCUUAGGGUUGUAAAGCUCUGUUUUAAGGGACGAAUGUCGUGGGGAGUAAUAUGCUCUGCGAAUGACGGUACCUUAAGAGGAAGCCCCGGCUAACUACGUGCCAGCAGCCGCGGUAAGACGUGGGGGGCGAGCGUUGUCCGGAAUUACUGGGCGUAAAGAGCACGUAGGCGGGAACUUAAGUCAGGUGUGAAAGACCGGGGCUCAACUCCGGGGUUGCACUUGAAACUGGGUUUCUUGAGGGCAGGAGAGGAAAGCAGAAUUCCUGGUGUAGCGGUGAAAUGCGUAGAAAUCAGGAGGAAUACCAGUGGCGAAGGCGGCUUUCUGGACUGACCCUGACGCUGAGGUGCGAAAGCGUGGGUAGCAAACAGGAUUAGAAACCCCGGUAGUCC
rnacentral:rRNA from 1 species